GGCAGCAGAGAUAUGCACAAAACUGGGUUGCCUGGUUCAGUUCAAGACCAGACUCGAACUGGACUAGGCAUGUUUGGCUUUGGAUAUCCCUGAACACCCCCCAGUUCUGUUUGGGUUCAGACAAAAAUGCCAUGGAUCUUGGGAUAUCUAUAAAUUGAUUUCUAAAAACCCAUUGCAUCUGGAAGUGUCACUGGGAGACCAGCAGAUGGUCAUCAUUGGAUGAUGUAUGACUUGCAGCAGAUAUUCUUAACCACAGAACAAUACCCAGAAGUUUGAGGAACAUGAAGCUCAAGUCCAUUAUAUUGCUUCUUCU